ACAGUGUUGGUGAAGGCCGUGGGUGUGCUAGAAACAAAAGUCGUGACUCGUCUUUGUGGAAAAGUAAAGCUGCAGAAGGUACAAUUACGCCACUAUGACGCCACCGUCUUACACCUGUCAGUAAUACUUCUUCUGUCUAGUAUGAUAAUUAUUUUCAGAGCUGCAUGUACCCGCGGGGGUUCCUCCAGCACUACUGCCUAGCCCCCUGCCAUACGCUGGGUGGUUUACUCUGUUCCUCUCCGGGGUUGAUGCUACACACAUAGACUGGGCAGCCCAGGUGUCUCAACAACUACAGCCAGUUAACUGGGACUAUGACUCGCUGGUGUUCCCCCGUUGUCUGCUGAGUGACCAAGAACUGGGUGUGUUGGCCAGCCAGCUGAGACGUAAUCACGUGCGGCCGACAAAACUUGUUGUGCCGGGAGACAAGGACGAGACCUUCACUCUGUCCGGAUACACAGUCCUGAGAGUGACGGGUGACGGUAUAUGAUACUUCCCGUAGGUGUAAGGGUAAGAGUGAGGCCUUUAUGGUGGUGUUACUGUAGGCAGGUUAACAUUACUUUGUUUUAUUAUUGACCUGUGUUAGUAAAUUAGUUUACUGUUCCUGGGUUAGUGGCACACUUAUCAAUGUUAACUAUCCAUACUUCUAUUCAAGAGUUAUGGUAUACAAACAAUGCCACAACUAAUAAUGUAAGUACAACAGUGGUAUGUGGGCUGUAAUGCCACAUGAAUACUAUACUAAAUCUUACUGUUACAUUGUUACAACACGUCUUCUCUUUUGUCUCCAACAUACAAUACUGUACACAUGUUCCACCCCAGACAACACAUAUGUGCACCCAAGAACCGUCUGGCCAGUUAUAUAUGGGACCAAACAAUGUCUCUUGGUGUGCUCUUAUGUAUGAAUGUAAUGGGGCCCAAAUAUAAUAUUAAGGAGCCCAUCUGGACAAGUGUCCGCCCGGAUAUAACCAAAUGUGUGAUGUUGGGAGAACAUUAAUUUACCACUACCUUGUAUUUACCUUGAAGUGUUAGUUUUAUAAACUGUUUUUGGUGAAACAAUUGAACAAGAGAGAAUGACCAAAUAUAUAAUAGUUGUUAGUAAUGUAACUCAA